UAGUCUGGCGCUCUUUGGGGUCUCCGGUUUCCUCCCAGUCGCGCAUCCAGUGGGGGCCUAAAAGCUCAAGAGUGUCACAGCUUCCCCUCCCGGGAUCUAAGGUCCUAACUAAGGGAAUCCCCUCACCUCUCCCCACUGGGGCGCAGUCUGACGUGCUCGCUGCUCAGAGCACGCACACAGCUACCGGUUAAUUUAAUUUCUUCUAUUUUUAAUGAAAUGAGUGUCCUCUGUCAGGGUCCACAUCUGUACUGGUGGAAUUAGGUUGAAGUCUUUCAUGGAACUACCCUCCGGGUUCUGCAGUCACAGGAGCCCCUGGCACUCGCCUUUCCCAGGGACAGAUGCUGAGCUCCACUUCAUCGGAAUGCUAAGUGUCCACAGCAUUGCUUUAAGGCUGCCGUCAGAAGUUGUGGCCCAGGUUAAAGUUGGAUCCUCCUACCUUAAGAAAUCCAGAGAAGGGGCUGGUGAGAUGGCUCAGCAGGCAUGGGGCCAAGUGGCUUAAGAGAGACGACCAUCACACAGAAGCCUAGAGCCAUAAUAAUGAUGGGUUUAGCUACUUCAUCUACCACACUUCCUGUUGACUCCUUUCUUCCUGUGCUCUGGUGCUGGAACUCUACUGGCCCAGUAGAGAGUCAAAGUCUUAGCUUGGAGAUGGCAGAGAUGAUGGACAUGAUGGAGAUGGAGAUGACAGAGAAAACAUACUUCAGCAUUGAUGAGUAUCUGCUGAAGGAAGGCAUGCUGGGGAGACUAAUGAAACCACUCAGAUGAUAUAAAGUCGCCUUGAAGAUGGAUCUCUGCGCAUUCUUAUGAGGAGACGAUCUUGACUGAGUUGACUGAAGUGGCAAGACCUGACCACUGGGGAUGACAUCAUCCCUUGGGAUGAGAACUAGGAUCUACAUAAAGAGGGAAGUGAGCUGCACUCAGAAAUCCAUGGCCCUCUGAACCCUAAGGAUGGAUGCCACAUGACCAGCUACUCUAAGCACUGGCUGCUCCAACUCCCCUGCCUUCGUGGACAAGACCCUUGCACUGUGAGCUGAAAUAACCCCCAUCUCCCUCGACUGCUUUUGUCAACUGCUUUUGUUUUAUCAAAGCAACAGGAAAAGAAAGUAGCAUGGCAUUCAAUUUAUCAGCAGUAAAUGUUACUGGUAAUUGUACUUUCUUUUUUCAUUUCUGGAUAUCAAGUCUAAGUACUCACUCAUUCUAAAUAAGCCAUCUUCUUCCAAGUUACCGUCCCUUGCCUGACAUUUUUAUGAAACAUUUCUAUGGCAUUUUCCCCCAUAGCCCAAUGUUUCUAUUUAAGGUUUUAUUUAAGUAUUUCCUUUAAGGUUCAACUUUCCCUCUACCAUUUUGGUUUUUUUUUUCCUCCAAAAUGGCCCUUUGUUUUCUUUUUUCACAUUCUUUUCUUCCUAUGCCCAGCUGUAUGCAAAUGAUACAAGCAUUCGUGUUUCUAUUUGAAUGUCUUAUCUGAGUUCCAAUGUCAAUAUGUCAAUAUCUGAAGGGCUGCAUUAUAUCCUUUGAACAUUUCAGUGAUAAGUCACAUGUGGUAUGCCCAAAAAAGAUCUCGUGUCACCCCCCCCCCCCACCUCCCUCAUCUAAUCUGCUUGUCUUUGGACUCCUUUCCAGUAAAUUAUAGCAUGAUACUUUCAUUAUUUUACUUUCAAGUGUUGCAUUUGUGUAAUUUCUCUUCUCUAUACGACCUGCAUCUAGCCAUGAUCUCUCUUUGUUACAUCUUCUCUCUUUUCCUCUUGUCUGUUCACCAUUUCAUCCCAAGCAAUUAGUUUUAGUAAAAUAUUGACAAGCCAAUGCUUUCAGACAAUUCUUAGGAAAACAGGAGAAAAAAGUAUUAUAAUCACAACACUUGGCAGACUGAGUCAGGAUGUUUAUCAGGAGUCCAAGGCCAGUGUAGGCUUCAGAGUGAGACUGUGUCCAAAGAUAAAAUAAGGAUCUAGAUAGAUGGCUCAGGGAGUAAGAAUACAGGUUUCUCUUAGAGAGGGUCUGUUAUGUCCCAGCAUGUUCAUGAUAGCUUGUAACCAUUCAUAAUUUCAGUGCUGGGAAGUGAUCCCAGGUUCUUCUGCGAGAUCAGCAAGUGAUCUUAACAACUGAGCAAACUACCCACACCCAUUGUUACCAUUUAUUUAUUUACCAAAUGAAGAAUUUAUAUCCUUUAGGUAUCUGUAUAAAAAAAUUCAAGAAUCUUAAUUGUAACUCCUAUGUCAUUACAGAGGUUUUCCUUUUUAUCCUCUUUUAAAGGAUACACUUAUUUUUAAUGUAUUGUACGUAUGAGUGCCUGCAUGUAUGUAUAUACACCAUAUGUCGGUCAGAUACCUGAGGAAGCCAGAAGAGCAUACCAGGUCCCCUGGAGCUGGAAUCACAAACAAUCCUGUUAGCAUGUAGGUGCUGAGAACCAAACCCAGGUUCUCUCAAAAGCAAUAAGCACUCUUACUGAAUGAAGAAUCUGUUUAGCCCCUGUUUGUCUUCUUAAGGGUCCCAUGGCAGUUGCCCUGUAUGCUUAUUUGUGACUACAUAUGCAAGGAACAUCACUACAACUAGAAUGCAUGCUUCAUCAAAAAGACCCUCCUGUAGAAUCUUGUGUUUGAAAGCUACAUCUGCUGUAAGACCAUUAGAGAAGAGAAGACUCACUUCAGUUCAAUGGUUUGUAUUCAGAAGUCCAGGAUUGAGAACUAAGUAAACAAUGGUGGCCCUUAAAGAGAUAGAGUGUUUUUCACAGUGCUGUAUAUUCCACCAUAGUCAUCUUGUAUUGCAUUAAUCAGAAUCAAGAAUUUAUGACUGAGAAGCACAUCAUUGCCAUAAUUGCAUUAACUGUAAAGACAAUUUUAGUGACAUGACACUGUCACAGACAAAGCAAACCCACAGAUAUAGUAUAGCAGAUUAUGAAGACUUAGAUUGGAGUCUGACUCUCUGGUAGUCUUUAGCUUAGGG
rnacentral:lncRNA from 1 species